AGGGGUUUAGGUUAACAACCAGACCAAGGGCCUUCAAAGCCCUAAGCGAGAGUGAAAAUCUCCCAACCCCUG
rnacentral:tRNA from 1 species